rnacentral:hammerhead_ribozyme from 1 species
AUGUACCUGAUGUGACCCAGACUGUAAAAUUGAUGCAACAUAAUAUAUAUAGCAUCCCACCCAUAAAGGACAGUCGAAGAAUGGGUCGAAACGAUCGUCGUACAA